GACGAACGCUGGCGGCGUGCCUAAUACAUGCAAGUUGAGCGCUGAAGGUUGGUACUUGUACCAACUGGAUGAGCAGCGAACGGGUGAGUAACGCGUGGGGAAUCUGCCUUUGAGCGGGGGACAACAUUUGGAAACGAAUGCUAAUACCGCAUAAAAACUUUAAACACAAGUUUUAAGUUUGAAAGAUGCAAUUGCAUCACUCAAAGAUGGUCCCGCGUUGUAUUAGCUAGUUGGUGAGGUAAAGGCUCAACAAGGCGAUGAUACAUAGCCGACCUGAGAGGGUGAUCCGCCACCUUGGGACUGAGACACGGCUCAAACUCCUACGGGAAGCAGCAGUAGGGAAUCUUCGGCAAAGGACGAAAGUCUUACCGAGCAACGCCGCGUGAGUGGAGAAGGUUUUCGGAUCGUAAAACCCUGUUGGUAGGGAAGAACGUUGGUGAGAGUGGAAAGCUCAUCAAGUGACGGUAACUACCCAGAAAGGGACGGCUAACUACGUG
rnacentral:rRNA from 1 species